AUUGAACACUGGCGGCAGGCUUAACACAUGCAAGUAGAGCGGAGAUGAGGUGCUUGCACCUUAUCUUAGCGGCGGACGGGUGAGUAAUGCUUAGGAAUCUGCCUAUUAGUGGGGGACAACAUUCCGAAAGGAAUGCUAAUACCGCAUACGUCCUACGGGAGAAAGCAGGGGAUCUUCGGACCUUGCGCUAAUAGAUGAGCCUAAUGCGGAUUAGCUAGUUGGUGGGGUAGAGGCCUACCAAGGCGACGAUCUGUAGCGGGUCUGAGAGGCUGAGCCGCCACACUGGGACUGAGACACGGCCCAGACUCCUACGGGAGGCAGCAGUUGGGAAUAUUGGACGAUGGGGGGAACCCUGAUCCAGCCAUGCCGCGUGUGUGAAGAAGGCCUUAUGGUUGUAAAGCACUUUAAGCGAGGAGGAGGCUACUGAGACUAAUACUCUUGGAUAGUGGACGUUACUCGCAGAAUAAGCACCGGCUAACUCUGUGCCAGCCGCCGCGGUAA
rnacentral:rRNA from 1 species